AUUGAACGCUGGCGGCAUGCUUUACACAUGCAAGUCGAACGGCAGCGGGGUGGCGUUUGUUUCUCUGCCGGCGCGUGGCGCACGGGUGAGUCAUACAUCGGAACGUGUUGUGACGCGGGGGUUAACUCCCCGAACGGGUGGCUAAUACCGCAUAUAUUCUGAGGCAGAAAGCUGGGGACCUAGGAAUAGUUUUAGCGCUUUUUGUGCGGCCGUUGUCGGAUUAGCUAGUUGGUGAGGUAAAGGCUCACCAAGGCGAAGAUCUGUAGCGGGUCUGAGAGGAUGAUCCGCCACACUGGAACUGAGACACGGCCCAGACUCCUACGGGAGGCAGCAGUGGGGAAUUUUGGACAAAGGGGGCAAGCCUGAUCCAGCCAUGCCGCGUGAAUGAAGAAGGCCUUAGGGUUGUAAAGUACUGUUGUUAGGGAAGAAAAGACAGGUGAGAAAAAAGGCAGAUACUGACGGUACCUAAAGAAAAAGCACCGGCUAACUACGUG
rnacentral:rRNA from 1 species